AAGUCGUAACAAGGUUUCCGUAGGUGAACCUGCGGAAGGAUCAUUCGAGAGUGAAUUAAAUACUGUGAUCAGAGUCAAAUCUGUGAGCUUUGUUUUCUUCUUUAACCAUGUGAACAUUAUAAAUUUUUUAUGUGACCUCGCGGUGUUAGAUUAGGCUCUAGUAUGACCAACGUUUUGAUUAACAAUGGUUGUAUUAUCUUAGUCUAACCAGAGUCAGGCACAGUAGCUUAUAUUAACCCUUUAAUUCCUUAUUGCCUAAAAUUAUAAAUUAAAACAACAUAACCUUUAACAAUGGAUCUCUUGGCUCCU
rnacentral:misc_RNA from 1 species